UUACUUAUGGCUAAGCAUUAGACUUGUAUUACAGCUGGUCAAAUUGAGCACAGUUGAUAAAUUGGGACAAAUAACAAGUUUUUGUCUUUAAUCAUAACUUUUACAAUUUCCUUAAAUCUGAUUGUUGCAUAAGCUGCUUUAUUUAUCACUAACUAUUCUGUAGAGUUGUAAAAGGACACCUGUAAUCGGACAGUUAAAACAGCCAAUCAUACAAGUCCAUCAAGAAGAUUUUUAUUUUAGACUUUGGGGCAGUUGAAAAUUGUAUCAGUUGGUGCAUAAAUUUUAACACGCUCAUGGGAAGGCCAUAUGCGAUGAUGGUGCUUGUUUCAGUAAAGUUUAACGAAGAGAGCGAAACAGUUUUAUUUGACUGUAUCGGUAUUGAACGAAAUUCACCGUACAGAUGAAUUACGUCUCGAGCUCAUUGAUGGACGGUCAAUAGGUUCGAUCGCCUUGUGUAUCUUAUUAAGUCCUUCUUUUGGUUACAAUAAGACUCGCAGGACCGACUUUCCAUGCGGGGAACGGUCGGAAAGCUCGCAAGUAGUAUUGGGCGUGAAAAAGAGAUUACUAGUAUCGCUACUAAUAUAAGGCCCAGAGUAUUGACUAUUUGCGGUUUUCGUCAUCAGUUAAGUAUUUAAACAGAAGCACUGCAAUAUCAAUGGCUCUAACCAGAAAUAUGUUCAUUUUGACUCUCCUGCUCCUUAUGGUUGAAGAGCUUUUUUGGUGCAGGUUUACGUCUUGCAUUAUUCCAUCGUUGACAAGCAAAAUGUCAUUUGUAAGUGAAUUUCAAGUGCUCCUCAGACAAUAGCCAAAUCUGUAUCCUUAUCAUGUUUUGCUCUUUUUUCGUACAGAGAGCUCGUCGAGCCAGCCAAAAGAUAGCUCUAAUGACAGAACAAACGAUUGCUCAUUGGGUUAUACAACGAAUUCCACUUUGAUAAAGGCUGACACGAGGUUGAGAUUCCGGGAACUUAACAACACAGGAACAUACACGCUGAAAGUGACGUGGAUACCUCUGCAAGAUGACAGUCUCAUCUGGGAUGGAUACACAGUCAUAUACUUUUUACAGAAAGAUUACAAAUGUGUGAACUUGGAUAAGGUAAGAAUUGCUAACCACUGGGAAUUGAAAU